UGACAUUACCUUUAGAAGAAGCACCGGCUAACUCCGUGCCAGCAGCCGCGGUAAUACGGAGGGUGCAAGCGUUAAUCGGAAUUACUGGGCGUAAAGCGUGCGUAGGCGGUUAUUUAAGUCAGAUGUGAAAGCCCCGGGCUUAACCUGGGAACUGCAUUUGAUACUGGGUAACUAGAGUUUAAUAGAGGAGAGUGGAAUUUCAGGUGUAGCGGUGAAAUGCGUAGAGAUCUGAAGGAACACCAGUGGCGAAGGCGACUCUCUGGAUUAAAACUGACGCUGAGGUACGAGAGCGUGGGUAGCAAACAGGAUUAGAUACCCUGGUAGUCCACGCCGUAAACGAUGUCAACUAGCCGUUGGGCCUUUAUACAGGUUUAGUGGCGCAGCUAACGCAUUAAGUUGACCGCCUGGGGAGUACGGCCGCAAGGUUAAAACUCAAAUGAAUUGACGG
rnacentral:rRNA from 1 species